rnacentral:rRNA from 1 species
GUGCCAGCAGCCGCGGUAAUACGUAGGUGGCAAGCGUUGUCCGGAAUUACUGGGCGUAAAGCGCGCGCAGGCGGUUUCUUAAGUCUGAUGUGAAAUCCCACGGCUUAACCGUGGAGGGUCAUUGGAAACUGGGAGACUUGAGUGCAGAUGAGGAAAGUGGAAUUCCAAGUGUAGCGGUGAAAUGCGUAGAGAUUUGGAGGAACACCAGUGGCGAAGGCGGCUUUCUUGUCUGCACCUGACGCUGAG